rnacentral:rRNA from 1 species
UGCCAGACUCCUACGGGAGGCAGCAGUGGGGAAUAUUGCACAAUGGGGGGAACCCUGAUGCAGCGACGCCGCGUGGGUGAAGGAGCGUUUCGGCGCGUAAAGCCCUAUCGGCAGGGAAGAAGAUGACGGUACCUGACCAAGAAGCCCCGGCUAACUACGUGCCAGCAGCCGCGGUAAUACGUAGGGGGCAAGCGUUAUCCGGAUUUACUGGGUGUAAAGGGGGCGCAGACGGCGAUGCAAGCCAGGAGUGAAAGCCCGGGGCCCAACCCCGGGACUGCUCUUGGAACUGCGUGGCUGGAGUGCAGGAGGGGCAGGCGGAAUUCCUGGUGUAGCGGUGAAAUGCGUAGAUAUCAGGAGGAACACCGGUGGCGAAGGCGGCCUGCUGGACUGCAACUGACGUUGAGGCCCGAAAGCGUGGGGAGCAAACAGGAUUAGAUACCCUAGUA